AGCAUGUAUUGUGAAGUCAUCCACCUUUAGGCUCAGGAGAGCUAACAGGAAGUGUCAUUUUUUUUUUUCCAGUGUGCUCCUUAAUGAUACAACCCUUCUGCUGGCCUUCACUUUGGCAAGGAAUACCCAUGUCAUGGAUUUGUGUUUGACUCAUUUUGGCAUGGAGUAUUUCAGCAAAAUUCCAGCGAACUGUGAAGUCCUACUCAGACAGCAAAGAAUGAGUGAAAGAAGGAAAAGAAGAAAGAGAGGGAGGGAGGGGAAGAAAUAAAACAGGUAUAAAAUUUUGUCUUUCUCUUUCGCAUAGAGAUUAGUUUUUUAUAUUUAAUUUGGUCCUGAACUUGGACUGUUGUUCUCGUAAUUAAUGUGUUUGUCUUUAGUAAUCUCCUUUUUCUUAUAUCUUGAAUAAUGUAUGAUAUCUCUAUUUUUAGGUCACCCUUCCUUAUUGAGAUUGCUUGCUUCUAUUAUACAGGGAUAAUUUCUCCAUUAUCUUCACAGUUUUUAGAAAAUCCAAAUACCCAGUGAGAACUUGUUUAAUUGACAUAGACUUCUGCUAUUCUUCAAAAAUUACAAAGCAAUUUUUGGUAAAAAGAUAUUGUCCUUUGCAUAUGCUAUUGGAAAUAUUUUGACCUAUGAUAUGUGACAAUGAAUAAAGCAAAUAUUGAUUAAAUAAUACUUAUCAGGUAGUACAUUGUACAUGUUAAUGUGUAACUUCCAUUUCUCAACAUAAA
rnacentral:lncRNA from 1 species